UCACCCCUCAAGCCCCCGGCUUGGUGUUGGACGGUUUGGUGGAGACCCCCCGUGGGCUUCCCACCCCUCCCAAAGACAAUGACGGCGGCCUCGUUGGACCCCCGGUACACUGAGUUCUUCACGGGACACGUAUCGGACAACAUGGGUUUACGGGCCACGGUCUGCCUCCCCUCAGGGAGAAUCUUCUUAA
rnacentral:misc_RNA from 1 species